rnacentral:lncRNA from 1 species
ACAAACGACCAUCGAUCCCCUUGCCAAGCCCUGAGUGGGGGAGAUAAACUCAUCACUGUUGGCCCCACAGUCUAGAAUGGGGAAGAUAAUGGUCCUCGAGUCUUUGUUUUAGACAGAACUCAACUCCUAGCCGAUGAUCUCCCCACAGUGCUUGGAGAACUAUACCAUCCAAGAUGCGGAUAUCGAUCACAAAUUUUGAAAAAUGAAUGAGCGGAUUGAAGCAAUCCACCAUCAGACACCGACACGUGAUGAUGGGUACAAUACCAACCCACCAUUUA